CACGUAGGAGGCAAACGUUAUCCGGAUUUACUGGGCGUAAAGCGCGUGUAGGUGGUUCUGUAAGUAGGGCGUGAAAGCUCCCGGCUCAACUGGGAGAGGCCGUUCUAAACUGCAGAGCUAGAGGAUGGUAGAGGGAGGUGGAAUUCCAGGUGUAGCGGUGGAAUGCGCAGAUAUCUGGAGGAACACCAGUGGCGAAGGCGGCUUUCUGGUCUACCCCUGACGCUGAGGAGCGAAAGCCAGGGGAGCAAACGGGAUUAGAUACCCCGGUAGUCCCUGAG
rnacentral:rRNA from 1 species